CCUUCAUCUCUUGUAAUCUAAAAGACUAACUGUAAACCAGAAUAAAUAAUGAAAUCAUUUGAAGGACAUCCUUCAUGAGAAAAAAGGCAUCCCUGUGCUCACCAUGCUUUGAAUGCAUAGAUUUACACGCCAAGAAAGAGUAACAGAAAUCACGUUUCCAACCUCCUUUAUCAUACGGUGGUAAAAUUCAAGUCCAGAGAUGGAAAGUGACUUUCUCCAGAACACACAGCCAGUUAAUGGCUGAAUCAGGACAAAAUCCCAGUAAUCAGCCGCCCAACUAAUUCCCCAUUCUACUGUAUCCUUCUAGAUCCACAGGACUGUCAGUUAUAAAUGAUGCUUAAUGGCACCAGUGCCUCUGUGGCCAUUAAAAAUGUCUCUCACCUUCAAAUAAGAGUGAAGAUGGAAAAUGGGAAGUUCCUCCCACACAAUGGGCACUGAAUGCGGGACAAAAGUGUUGAGGAAGAGAUGGGCGGUUGGCGGAGAAGAGGAGUGAGCACAGAAGAAGGGAUCGGGAGUGAAGAGGGACACAGAGGCCCCCUACUUUACAACUGUGCCUAAACAGAAGCCCCCCUUCAGCCCAAAAGCUGAAUCUGAAAAUGCCCCCAGACGGAUUUCUCCUUCCCUCUGUCUAGAAGCCUCUUAGAGGAGACAGAAGACACCGCUCUCCCAGAUUAGACAAAAUCUAUGAAUGCUCAGGCGGAAAGGGAAAUGAGACUGUUUACCUGCAAUAGUUUAAAAGACAGGUUCGGUUGGAGUUUCCUUAAAUCCCCUCAACCUUAGGUUUUGGCAGAAGCACUUCCAGACCGCAGGUUUCGGGGGAUCCCAAGCCUGCUUGUUUAUCCGCCAGACGUGAGCCUUCACAGAACCAGUACCCGGGCUGCUCUGGGACAGCAAGCAUCCAGUUAAGGAAGAGGGGCGAAAAGUCUAAUUCUAACCUAUCAAACUCGACAGCAUCAUUUUAAAAAAGAUUCCCAUCUCAAAGAAAGUCUACAAGCAGCGAGUGAGGCUACAAGGCCAUGAUCGUGUCCCGGCAUCGUAAUAAUUGCGGAAGAUUGCCCAAUUAGCAAUCCCACACUUAGGGAGUUCCAUCGUGCUGUGGCCUGUCUUCAUCUGUUUUGAGGGAAAAUUCUGCCUUCGGGAGUCCGAAAUAAUGGCAGAACUCUUCACUAUGUCUGUGAGUUUGGAUGGAGUCCCCAGGGUACACGGCAACCUUGCCUGGUAAUGAAGCAGAGAAAUCACCUGUUCCUGCUUAAACCUGCUCACACCCUCCACAGCCAGGAGAGGCCCUGGCUGAUGUCCUGGAGGAAAGGACAACCUCUGGAAGGUGACAGAACCAGGAGCAUCUGGGGUUAGGAUCCUCAGUCCUUCUUGAGCCAAACUCUUACCUACAGGCCUCG